GCAUGUACACAUCCAGAUGGCCAGUUCCUGCCUUAACUGAUGACAUUCCACCACAAAAGAAGUGAAAAUGGCCAGUUCCUGCCUUAACUGAUGACAUUCCACCACAAAAGAAGUGAAAAUGGCCUGUUCCUGCCUUAACUGAUGACGUUAUCUUGUGAAAUUCCUUCUCCUGGCUCAUCCUGGCUCAAAAGCUCCCCUACUGAGCACCUUGUGUCCCCCACUCCUUCCCACCAGAGAACAACCCCCCUUUGACUGUAAUUUUCCUUUACCCACCCAAAUCUUAUAAAACGGCCCCACCCCAUCUCCCUUCCCUGACUCUCCUUUCGGACUCAGCCUGCCUGCACCAAGGUGAUUAAAAAGCUUUAUUACUCACACAAAGCCUGUUUGGUGGUCUCUUCACACGGACGCGAGUGAAACAGCUGGCUUCACCUCUCAAUGGUAUGUAAUAUGUAACAUAUAAUAGAAAUUAUAAUCAGAUUGGCAGAUGAUCAUUUCAAUGGAAAAUAAAAAGUUUCAAAUCAACUGCAGAACCAUCAUAAUAAAAUGGAAUAAAAAAUAGUAAAGAAAAAGUAACAGGGCAAAGGAAGUAGUAGAAAGCUAUCACUUAAAACGUAUAAAGUAAAAAAAUUAAACUCUAAUAACAAGCAUAAGUCACUGAACAAAAUUCAAUAAUCUGAUGUCUAUAAGAAACACACUUAAAAUUAAAAUGUAAACGGAAUAAAAUCCAAAAGGUAAUUUAAAGCCAGCCAUGCCUGUAGAAAUACAAAAAUAAAAAUAAAAAAAUUUAAAAAGGAGAUUUCUACUGUGGCACAAAAAUUUUAGACAGAUUAACAAGUUACUAUUGUAUUUUUCACAAGAAAAACCUGAGACAAAUUAGAUUUAAUAGGGCUUAUUUGAACAAAGAAUGAUUCAUAAAUAGGGCAGCACUCAGAAUGAGAAUAGUCUUAGAGAGCUCUGCCUAGCAGUGUGAUCAGUGAGAUUUUAUAGCCAAGAUAUAGGAGCAAAGUAGGUAAAUCACCAGAUUGGCUACAGCUAGGCAUUUGCCUAAUUUGGGCAUGAUGGAAUAAUGUGGCUGCAUGUGAUUUGUUGAAACUUGGCUGCUUGUGAUUGGCUGAAACUCAGCUCUUUGUUAUAUCCCUUAAUUAGGUUUUGGUUUGUUUACCUACUAAGAUAGCAGUUUGUUAAGUAGGAGUUCAAAGUACAGAGCUAGCUCAGACUGAUGUGUUCAGGAAAAGCUGAGUGUUGGGAGGGAAACUGAGGCAGGGCUUGCAUAAUGUCCUCUGGAACGUGUUUAGACUUGCUGACUCCUUGCUUCUAGCCUUGCUAGGCUCCUAGAUCGAUUGUAUUUCCAUUACCUCAAGUAGCAGAACAU
rnacentral:lncRNA from 10 species